AGCAGUAGCCGCGGGAAUACGGAGGGUGCAAGCGUUAAUCGGAAUUACUGGGCGUAAAGCGCACGCAGGCGGUCUGUCAAGUCAGAUGUGAAAUCCCCGGGCUUAACCUGGGAACUGCAUUUGAAACUGGCAAGCUAGAGUCUUGUAGAGGGGGGUAGAAUUCCAGGUGUAGCGGUGAAAUGCGUAGAGAUCUGGAGGAAUACCGGUGGCGAAGGCGGCCCCCUGGACAAAGACUGACGCUCAGGUGCGAAAGCGUGGGGAGCAAACAGGAUUAGAUACCCGGGUAGUCCCUGUCUCUUAUAA
rnacentral:rRNA from 1 species